GUGUAAGGACCGAACAGAGGAGUUGCUUAUAUGCGGCGACUUCAACGCACAUAAUGUGGCUUGGGGAAGUGCUCGAACAGACAAGAGGGGGGAGGCCCUUAUGACAGUAAUAGAGCAGAUGGGACUUGCGGUGGCGAAUGAUGGACGGCCGACGUUCUUCAGGCUUCCGAACUCGUACAGUGUUCUUGACGUGACAGCGCACUCGCCAUCCCUGUAGAUGAAGUGGGAGCUAGCCCCGGACACACGGGGAAGUGAUCACUUCCCCAUCCACAUCACCAUCAAGGGGUGUCAGGGGGCAAGGAAAGUCUUGCGUACG